GCAGUCGGGCUUGGGCCUGGGGGGAAAAAGGGCGGAGGGGUCUCACACCCUUGUCUCUCACAGCUCACUUCGCUCUCAGACCGAAGCCCCAACCAGUCGCUGCGUUUGUGUUCCAUACUUCCAUUCUUCUUGCUCCGGCGGCCACCAGCUCGCUGUGCAAACCCGGCUAAUUCAUAUCUAUUUGUUUUUCACUGGCACGAUGGUUGUCGCCGUGUGACCUGGAGGUCACAGGUUCGAGGCGUGGAAACGGCUUUUUGCAAAAAUGUAAGGAAGGUGGUGGUGAAGCUGUCUUAAGAAGGCUACAAGAAUGCGUAGAUUCCCAUUUUGAGGACCCCUUUCAAGGAUCCCUUUCACAAUUUUCAUCUGCUAAUUGGUGGAAGCGUUUUGGGACAAAGACCCUUGAAUUGAUGAACUUUGCUAUUCGUGUUCUUAGCCUGACAUGUAGUGUUAGUGGAUGUGAGAGGAAUUGGAGCACAUUUGAGCAGAUUCAUACGAAAAAGAGGAAUUGAUUAGAGCACAAGAGAUUGAAUGCUCUAGUUUUCGUCAAGUACAACACCAAAUUGAGGAAGAGAGCUAUAAGAAGAAGACAAAAUUAUGAUCCAAUAUUGGUGCUAGAAGUAGCUUCAGAUGAUGAAUGGAUCACAGAGAAGGAAGAACCUAGCCUCCCAAAAGAUACUUCUUCGGUUGAUGAUGAAAAUGUCCUAGAUGUUGAUGCUAUUAGAGCUUUGCCCAUGGUACCUCUUGAAGGAGAUGAUGCUAAAGCAACACAAGCUUCUGGUAGCUCGCAUUCUAAUCUUCCUAGAAAAAGGAAGAUUAGUGAUUAUUGCACUCAAGACAAAGGCAAGAGGCUAACAUUGGAAACAAUUGAGGAAGACAAUGAUGUUGAAGUGGGAGAGGAAUUUAUUAGUGGAAGAGCUCCUAUUAUAGAUGAUUAUGAUGAAGAUGAGGAUGUUGAUGAAGAUCUUGAUAGUUCCCACUGAACUUUGUUGAUUAAGAUUUACUAGAAUCUUAGAAAUUAGAAUCUUGGAUGAUGAGACAUUGUGAUGUUGUAAUUUGGUUUUUUCUCUUCUUUUUGAAAAUUUAUGGCUUAUUUUUAACAUGCAUUGUUUGAGUUAGCUAAAAUUGGCUUAUAUGGUACUUAAGAAUUAUGUUUUUAUUUUUUUCUCCAUUAUUCUAA